UAUUGCACAAUGGGGGGAACCCUGAUGCAGCGACGCCGCGUGAGGGAAGAAGGUUUUUGGAUNGUAAACCUCUGUCCUUGGUAAANNCGNNNGNCGGUAGCCAAGGAGGAAGCCACGGCUAACUACGUGCNAGAAGCCGCGGUAAUACGUCGGUGGCAAGCGUUGUCCGGAAGUACUGGGUGUAAAGGGAGCGGAGGCGGUUAUGAAAGUUGAAUGUGAAAUCUAUCGGCUCAACUGAUAGGCUGCGUUCAAAACUGUAUAUCUUGAGUGAAGUAGAGGCAGGCGGAAUUCCUAGUGUAGCGGUGAAAUGCGUAAAUAUUAGGAGGAACACCAGUGGCGAAGGCGGUCUGCUGGGCUUUAACUGACGCUGAGGCUCGAAAGCGUGGGGAGCAA
rnacentral:rRNA from 1 species